rnacentral:rRNA from 1 species
GACGAACGCUGGCGGCGUGCUUAACACAUGCAAGUCGAACGGAAAGGCCCUGCUUUUGUGGGGUGCUCGAGUGGCGAACGGGUGAGUAACACGUGAGUAACCUGCCCUUGACUUUGGGAUAACUUCAGGAAACUGGGGCUAAUACCGGAUAGGAGCUGCUGCUGCAUGGUGGGGGGUGGAAAGUUUCGGCGGGUGGGGAUGGACUCGCGGCUUAUGAGCUUGUUGGUGGGGUAGUGGCUUACCAAGGCUUUGACGGGUAGCCGGCCUGAGAGGGUGACCGGCCACAUUGGGACUGAGAUACGGCCCAGACUCCUACGGGAGGCAGCAGUGGGGAAUAUUGCACAAUGGGCGGAAGCCUGAUGCAGCAACGCCGCGUGCGGGAUGACGGCCUUCGGGUUGUAAACCGCUUUCGCCUGUGACGAAGCGUGAGUGACGGUAGUGGGUAAAGAAGCACCGGCUAACUACGUG